ACUUGCGGGAGCUUGCUCCCAAAAGUUAGCGGCGGACGGGUGAGUAACACGUGGGCAACCUGCCUAUAAGACUGGGAUAACUUCGGGAAACCGGAGCUAAUACCGGAUCAUUCUUUUCUACGCAUGUAGGAAAGCUGAAAGACGGCUUACGCUGUCACUUAUAGAUGGGCCCGCGGCGCAUUAGCUAGUUGGUGAGGUAACGGCUCACCAAGGCCGGGAUGCGUAGCCGACCUGAGAGGGUGAUCGGCCACACUGGGACUGAGACACGGCCCAGAGACCUACGGGAGGCAGCAUUCUG
rnacentral:misc_RNA from 1 species